rnacentral:rRNA from 1 species
GUGGAUUAGAUACCCUGGUAGUCCACGCGGUAAACGAUGUGCACUAGAUGUCGGAGGUAUUGAUCCCUUCGGUGUCGCAGCUAACGCAUUAAGUGCACCGCCUGGGGAGUACGGUCGCAAGAUUAAAACUCAAAGGAAUUGACGGGGGCCCGCACAAGCGGUGGAGUAUGUGGUUUAAUUCGAUGCAACGCGAAGAACCUUACCUGGCCUUGACAUCCCGGGAAUCCUCUGGAAACAGAGGAGUGCUUUCAUUAGAGAGAACCUGGAGACAGGUGCUGCACGGCCGUCGACAGCU